rnacentral:rRNA from 1 species
UACGAAGGGUGCAAGCGUUACUCGGAAUUACUGGGCGUAAAGCGUGCGUAGGUGGUUUGUUAAGUCUGUUGUGAAAGCCCCGGGCUCAACCUGGGAAUGGCAAUGGAUACUGGCAAGCUAGAGUGCGGUAGAGGGUAGUGGAAUUCCCGGUGUAGCGGUGAAAUGCGUAGAGAUCGGGAGGAACACCAGUGGCGAAGGCGGCUACCUGGCCCACUCUUGACGCUGAGGCGCGAAAGCUAGGGGAGCAAACGGG